rnacentral:rRNA from 1 species
GCAAGUCGAACGGGGUGCUUGGAGCUGAUCGCUUCGGCGUGACGCACCUUGUUACCUAGUGGCGAACGGGUGAGUAACACGUAGGAAACCUGCCCUCAGGAUUGGGAUACUCCCGAGAAAUCGGGCUCAAUACCGGAUAUGACCCCAGGGUGAAAUGCCCAGGGGUAAAAGUUGCGAGCAAUCGUAGCACCUGAGGAGGGGCCUGCGGCCUAUCAGCUUGUUGGUGAGGUAAUGGCUCACCAAGGCGAAGACGGGUAGCCGGACUGAGAGGUCGAUCGGCCACACUGGAACUGAGACACGGUCCAGACUCCUACGGGAGGCAGCAGUGGGGAAUUUUGCGCAAUGGGCGAAAGCCUGACGCAGCGACGCCGCGCGGAGGAAGAAGGCCUUCGGGUUGUAAACUCCUUUAGUACGGGAAGAAGCCUUCGGGUGACGGUACAGUAAGAA